AUCUUAGGUCGGCGUUCACGGUUUGACUUCUGGGAUUCAGAUCGAGCUCUAGGGUCACAGGGACAGGAUGGGAUGCCAGUCCAUCAUAAGGGCAAUUUAGAGAUGCCAAUCAACCAGGCUGUGUGUGUUUCAAGCUGCUGGAGGAAAGCUAUAUGACACAGGGAGAACAUACACACUCUGCAGACUUGGUUUGGAAGCAGAAAAGAAAUCUCAACCCUGAGUUUGACCUGCUGAGUCACUAUUCCAACCCUCUUCCCGACAUGGUUAUUCAAGAACAUAACGGAUAGAAGAAAGACAACUGCAGUAUAAGUUAUUAAAAUUCCACAUAAAAGGAGACGUAUAAUUAUGUUUCUCAACCUGGUCCUUGGGAACCCCUGGACAGCCCACAUUUUUGCUCCCUCCCGAGGACCAAGUUGGGAGACAUGAGAGGAACCAAAAAGACAGGAAGUUGUAAGGUAAAAUAGCAGUUGGGUCAAUAAUAACUUGCUGCCCAUCCCUUAUGGUUUUAACAAUUCUGAAAGAUGGGGGCAAGUCAUGUGUGUACAGAGUUAGAGCCUUGUUAGUUCUUCGAAUUGUGUUCAUAUACUGGUGAAAUUUUAAAAAACUACAUGGAAUGGCUGAAGUGCUCCUGAGGAGAGGUUUGGGAACCCAAGUAGCCAUCCAACAAGACAUCAAUAACUUAUUGAAGAAUAGCAGAAAUUGCUGUUGGUUUUUAUGAUGUCAAUAUUUUUUUUGCAUAUGUCCUAAUGUUAAAUUGAGUGUUUUUUCCUGACCAAAUGGACAUUUACUACCCAAAUACAUAGCUCUGAAAUUUUUCUUUGACUGUCUAAGACCUUCGCACAGUACUGUAUAUAUCUUGUCUCGUAUUCAGUAUAUUGUGUGUUUCUAUAUUUAUUGUCCCUGUGCAUGCAUGUUGUAUAUGCUGUACUGCUGGCUGGAGAGCAACUAAAUGACAUUUCACCAC